UACGUAGGGUGCGAGCGUUAAUCGGAAUUACUGGGCGUAAAGCGUGCGCAGGCGGCGCGUUAAGACAGGUGUGAAAGCCCCGAGCUUAACUUGGGAAUUGCGCUUGUGACUGGCGUGCUGGAGUGUGGCAGAGGGAGGUGGAAUUCCACGUGUAGCAGUGAAAUGCGUAGAGAUGUGGAGGAACACCGAUGGCGAAGGCAGCCUCCUGGGCCAGCACUGACGCUCAUGCACGAAAGCGUGGGGAGCAAAUAGG
rnacentral:rRNA from 1 species